rnacentral:rRNA from 1 species
GCUUGCUCUGAUUUCACCAGUGAACCGAGUGGCGAACUGUGGAGGAACACUGUGGGAAAACUGCCCAGAAGCAGGGGAUAACACUUGGAGACAGGUGCUAAUACCGUAUAACAACAAAAUCCGCAUGGAUUUUGUUUGAAAGGUGGCUUCGGCUAUCACUUCUGGAUGAUCCCGCGGCGUAUUAGUUAGUUGGUGAGGUAAAGGCCCACCAAGACGAUGAUACGUAGCCGACCUGAGAGGGUAAUCGGCCACAUUGGGACUGAGACACGGCCCAAACUCCUACGGGAGGCAGCAGUAGGGAAUCUUCCACAAUGGACGAAAGUCUGAUGGAGCAAUGCCGCGUGAGUGAAGAAGGGUUUCGGCUCGUAAAACUCUGUUGUUAAAGAAGAACACCUUUGAGAGUAACUGUUCAAGGGUUGACGGUAUUUAACCAGAAAGCCACGGCUAACUACGUGCCAGCAGCCGCGGUAAUACGUAGGUGGCAAGCGUUGUCCGGAUUUAUUGGGCGUAAAGCGAGCGCAGGCGGUUUUUUAAGUCUGAUGUGAAAGCCUUCGGCUUAACCCGGAGAAGU